UUCAGUUUCAUUACUGUUUUCUUCCUUUUGUGAACAGAGCUAAGCAAAGAGCUAUGGAAUGACCUUCAAAUUGUGUGAAAACAAACUUGUGUCAACACAAAACUGAAUGAGAAAAGAGCGUGUGUGCCUGAGCAUUUCUGAAUGAACAGUGUGGAGAUGUCCACUCCCACUGGCUCCAGGACUGGAUAUCCCACGGCACACCAUGCAGCCAUCUGCUGGCAUCUCUGCAUCUGUUUGGAUGCUGACACGUGGAUAGGAAGGCAGUAUCUGGUGCUGUAUGUGAAGACAUGACUGAGCAGAAAAUUGAAGAGAAUUUGCUUGGAGUGUAUGAGUGGAAAUUGGAAAGACAAUGGUCACAGGAGGAAAGAGAAAGUGAGUUGAACUGCAGUGAUAUCUUCCUGACAGAGGAGUGUCUGG
rnacentral:lncRNA from 1 species